UAAAAAUUUGGUCUCUCUUCCCCCUCUCUCGCUCCAUCUCUCACAUCUCGCGUAGCAGCCUGAGCCCUGAGCCUUGAGCCUUGAGCCUCAUCUCUCUCUCGGUCUUCAAUCACUCUCUCAAACUCUCUGUCUCUCAUUCCCAACACCAUCUCUCGAUUUCUCUCUAUUUCUGCCUUCAUCCAAAAAAAAAAUUCACACGCCUCCACCUCGGCCAAGCUCGCGCCGCCGUCAAUUUCGAUGUCCUCUUCAGGGUACACGGUGGACUGGCAAGUGCUGGUACGUCUACAACCUCCUCAAGUACAAGUUCGAUCUCCAGUUCAAUAUCCCCAUCACCUACCCCGCCACCGCACCGGAACUCGAGCUCCCUCAGCUAGACAGCAAGACCCAAAAGAUGUAUAGAGGGGGGAUCUGCUUGACAGUGCAUUUCAAGCCGUUUUGACCCAAGAACUGGUGAUUUUUCUAUCUUGCUGUCUUUAAUUUGUUGUAUGUGUUGAAUUAUUGUGAAUUUUUUAUCUGUUUGGACACUGAGAAAUUAUAAGAAAUGAAAGGAAAGUUGUUUUUUUUUUUUUUUUUUUAAUUUUUUGUUGGGAAAUUUGUAAUAUUUGGGCUUACUUGAGAUUUCGAAAUCAGCUGUGAACUCGGCUCUUAAUUUGCUUUAGAAGAUAUGACAUAACAGAACAAUAAAAACUCAAAUGUUGUUGCAACUGACAAAGAAAACUCGAAAUUUGUUUGGCUUUAUGAUUAUUUGCUUCGAGUAGAAAAUUAGGAUGCAUGGUUUGUAUAUUUCAAUAUGUUAGUCUUCUGUUUUUGAAACCAAUUUAUGUAUUUAGAUUAAGUAUCUUUGCCUCUGUGAAAGGAAUUUCUUUUCGCAUAACAUGACUUACCUUGCAUUUUCUUUGUGGAAGAAUUAUGUUUGUAUUCUCUUCUGUGGAUGGAAAAUAAUUUGUGUAAAAUUUGCGCAACACAUUUUCUUUUUCCUUAAAUUUGAAUUGUAGUGAGAAACAUCCGUCUGUGGAACUUUUGCUUUUCAUGGCAUUCACAUGGUAAUUGAUGACCAUGAAAGUGUUAGUCUUCCUUUAAUCUCCAACAAAGAACGUACUCUAAUCUCUUCUGGAAAGCAUUAAUGCAAACAAACAACGUGCUGAUUUGUUUAAUUAAACAUGUUUGGAGUUAUCGGCUAGUAGUACUUAUGAUCUUUCUCAUGUUAAUUAUGCAGUCCAAGAUUUGGUAUGGCACAUGCACUUUGUUUGGGUCUUGCACCAUGGCUUGCUGCAUUCAUGCUUAUAAGAUAGCACAUGGUUUUUCUUUUUUAUAUGAAGUUUAUGAAAAGAGGAUUGUGGCUGAAGCUGGAUGCUUCACAAUAUCGUAAGAAAUAAUGUUUUAGCAUAAAUUUUCUACGGUUUUGCAUCUCAGUUAUUAAUAUUAGAACAGAAAAAAGAAAUUGGGCUUCCAAUUGCUGGUUUUAACUAGUUAAAGGUCAAGAAUCAUGUAGUUUUGUUGCCUAAUGACCAAUUUUAGAUAUCUUCAAAUUUGCACUGUCUCCAACGACCCUUCUCAGUUAAUAUUUGACAUACAUAUGCACAUAUACACCAUACAGAGGGACAUAGUCCGACUCUCAGAAACUUUGUUCGAGUAUUAAGCUCUAGUGAGAAGGCACAGGAUACAGUUUCCAUAGCAUAAUCAAAAUUUCGAGGUUUUGAUUUAGAGGCAAUAUAUGCAUCAACGUUAAGGCUUAUGUGAUCAGUUAAUAUCAUUGAAUGUUAAGGCUUAUGUGAUUAGUUAAUAUCUUUGAAUGUUGAGGCUUAUGUGAUCAAUUAAUUUCUUUGAAUUUCAUCAUAUCUUGAUUAUUCUAAGCCUUCUUCAGUUGAAUACUUGAAUAAGAUAUGUGGAUUAAACUUUGAAGGUUGACAUUUUCCAGAGGGACUUCAUCCUUGAUCCUUAUUAACUGAGAAAGGAUAAGGUGAAGGGUGCUAACCUCAAGUGGCUUUACCCACAUUUGUCUGUCAUACCAGCCACUCUCUUCGUAAGGUAUAAUGGCUGAUAGUAGCUUAUCACCAGCAUAACUCCAUCCCUGCAGUACGGUAAUUAUAUGAUUUACUUGCUUUAAAGAUUCUACAAUGAGAGACGUUCUACUAACAAAUAUUAAGCAUGAAAAUUGCUUGAAUGUGCUUGUUUUUCUUUCUUAUUGCUUACAAUACUAUUGUUUAAUGUCUCAAUAUGAAAUUUCAAGUUUUGCAUUUGUUUUCGUGCAGUCCAUACAUACUGGGGAACCUGUAGUAAUAUAUGUUCUCUAGUAUUCGGGGCUGGUAGAAUUGAAUCCAUGGCUGUUUAGCAAGUUCAUAAUCUAUUAUGUGUUUAUCUUUUCUCAAAGGACCCCCCUUAAUAUAAUUUUUCAAGAGUUCUACCUAUACAAGUACAAAUUUUUUUUCUUGAUCCAUAUGCUUAUGUCCGUGCAAAUAGAGAGAGGCAAAAAUUGCUGAGGCUCAAGCAUUAGGGGUAGUAGUUCGCUCUCGAGGUCCUUUGUUUGGAGGUGUUAAAAAAAUGUGAAGGCUUCAAGUGACAAUGUCCUUGUUUGUUGGAGGUCUCUGGAUAGUUUGAUAUUUCUUUGUAUAUCUCAUUGUUUUAUUGUUUGCUUUAGAAGAUUACUUGUUUUUUCUUUUUUGUUCGGACAUCUUGUAUGUACAUUUUCAUAUAUUUUAUAAUUAAAUAUUUUUGCUUGGUUAA